GUAGCGCAUGAUGGAGCCUGCAUAAUUUCUCACUGACUGUGUUUGCCUUGGUGUUGUCUGCUACUGAGUUUAAGGGUCACCUCUACUAUGUAUUGUGCUGGAUAGUUUACUAGUCCAGUAUGGAGUGGUGGAGAGCUGUGAGCAAGUGAACACUGACUCGGAAACUGCAGUUGUAAAUGUAACCUAUUCCAGUAAGGACCAAGCUAGACAAGCACUAGACAAACUGAAUGGAUUUCAGUUAGAGAAUUUCACCUUGAAAGUAGCCUAUAUCCCUGAUGAAAUGGCCGCCCAGCAAAACCCCUUGCAGCAGCCCCGAGGUCGCCGGGGGCUUGGGCAGAGGGGCUCAUCAAGGCAGGGGUCUCCAGGAUCUGUGUCCAAGCAGAAACCAUGUGAUUUGCCUCUGCGCCUGCUGGUUCCCACCCAGUUUGUUGGAGCCAUCAUAGGAAAAGAAGGUGCCACCAUUCGGAACAUCACCAAACAGACCCAGUCUAAAAUCGAUGUCCACCGUAAAGAAAAUGCAGGGGCUGCUGAGAAGUCGAUUACUAUCCUCUCUACUCCUGAAGG
rnacentral:sRNA from 1 species